UGGGGAAUAUUGCACAAUGGGCGCAAGCCUGAUGCAGCAACGCCGCGUGAGGGAUGACGGCCUUCGGGUUGUAAACCUCUUUUAGUAGGGAAGAAGCGAAAGUGACGGUACCUGCAGAAAAAGCACCGGCUAACUACGUGCCAGCAGCCGCGGUAAUACGUAGGGUGCGAGCGUUGUCCGGAAUUAUUGGGCGUAAAGAGCUCGUAGGCGGUCUGUCGCGUCUGCUGUGAAAACCCCGAGGCUCAACCUCGGGCCUGCAGUGGGUACGGGCAGACUAGAGUGCGGUAGGGAGAAUGGAAUCCUGGUGUAGCGUGGAAUGCGCAGAUAUCAGGAGGAACACCGAUGGCGAAGGCAGUUCUCUGGGCCGUAACUGACGCUGAGGAGCGAAAGCGUGGGGAGCGAACAGGAUUAGAUACCCUGGUAGUCCACGCCGUAAACGUUGGGCGCUAGA
rnacentral:rRNA from 1 species